rnacentral:rRNA from 1 species
CCUACGGGUGGCAGCAGUGGGGAAUAUUGCACAAUGGGGGAAACCCUGAUGCAGCGACGCCGCGUGGGUGACGAAGUAUUUCGGUAUGUAAAGCCCUAUCAGCAGGGAAGAAGAUGACAGUACCUGACCAAGAAGCCCCGGCUAACUACGUGCCAGCAGCCGCGGUAAUACGUAGGGGGCAAGCGUUAUCCGGAUUUACUGGGUGUAAAGGGAGCGUAGGUGGCAUGGCAAGCCAGAAGUGAAAACCCGGGGCUUAACCCCGCGGAUUGCUUUUGGAACUGUCAGGCUGGAGUGCAGGAGGGGCAGGCGGAAUUCCUGGUGUAGCGGUGAAAUGCGUAGAUAUCAGGAGGAACACCGGUGGCGAAGGCGGCCUGCUGGACUGUAACUGACACUGAGGCUCGAAAGCGUGGGGAGCAAACAGGAUUAGAUACCCCGGUAGUC